AUUGAACGCUGGCGGCAUGCUUUACACAUGCAAGUCGAACGGCAGCGCGGGCUUCGGCCUGGCGGCGAGUGGCGAACGGGUGAGUAAUACAUCGGAACGUGCCCAGUAGUGGGGGAUAGCUCGGCGAAAGCCGGAUUAAUACCGCAUACGACCUGAGGGUGAAAGCGGGGGAUCUUCGGACCUCGCGCUAUUGGAGCGGCCGAUGGCAGAUUAGCUAGUUGGUGGGGUAAAGGCCUACCAAGGCGACGAUCUGUAGCUGGUCUGAGAGGACGACCAGCCACACUGGAACUGAGACACGGCCCAGACUCCUACGGGAGGCAGCAGUGGGGAAUUUUGGACAAUGGGCGAAAGCCUGAUCCAGCAAUGCCGCGUGUGUGAGGAAGGCCUUCGGGUUGUAAAGCACUUUUGGCGGGAACGAAAAGGACUGUGCCAAUACCACGGUUCGAUGACGGUACCCGCAGAAUAAGCACCGGCUAACUACGUG
rnacentral:rRNA from 1 species